rnacentral:rRNA from 1 species
GAUGAACGCUAGCUACAGGCUUAACACAUGCAAGUCGAGGGACCGGCGCACGGGUGAGUAACACGUAUCCACCCUGCCCUUUACUCGGGGAUAGCCUUUCGAAAGAAAGAUUAAUACCCGAUAUAAAGGAUGGGGAUGCGUUCCAUUAGGUUGUUGGUGAGGUAACGGCCCACCAAGCCUUCGAUGGCUAGGGGUUCUGAGAGGAAGGUCCCCCACAUUGGAAACAAGACACGGUCCAAACUCCGACGGGAGGCAGCAGUGAGGAAGAUUGGGCAAGGGGCGCUAGCCUGAACCAGCCAAGUAGCGUGAAGAAUGAAGGCUUAUGGGUCGUAAACUUCUUUUAUAUAAGAAUAUGUAUUAUAUGAAUAAGGAUCGGCUAACUCCGUGCCAGCAGCCGCGGUAAUAC